UACCAUGGUGGUAACGGGUAACGGGGUGUUAGGGCACGACACCGGAGAGGGAGCCUGAGAAACGGCUACCACAUCCAAGGAUGGCAGCAGGCGCGCAAAUUACCCAAUCCCGACACGGGGAGGUAGUGACAAUAAAUAACAAUACGGGGUUCUUUAGGAUCUCGUAAUUGGAAUGAGUACAAUUUAAAUCUCUUAACGAGGAACAAUUGGAGGGCAAGUCUGGUGCCAGCAGCCGCGGUAAUUCCAGCUCCAAUAGCGUAUAUUAAAGUUGUUGCAGUUAAAAAGCUCGUAGUUGAAUUUCGGGGUCAGUAGGUCGGUCGUGCCACUGGUAUGAACUGGUUUUACUGAUUCCUCCCUCUUGAAGAACUGUAAUGCCAUUAAUUUGGUGUUGCAGGGAAUCAGGACUGUUACUUUGAAAAAAUUAGAGUGUUUAAAGCAGGCCUUAGCUUGAAUACAUUAGCAUGGAAUAAUGAAAUAGGACGUUUGAUCCUAUUUUGUUGGUUUCUAGGAUUGACGUAAUGAUUAAUAGGGAUAGUUGGGGGCAUUAGUAUUCAAUUGUCAGAGGUGAAAUUCUUGGAUUUAUUGAAGACUAACUACUGCGAAAGCAUUUGCCAAGGAUGUUUUCAUUAAUCAAGAACGAAAGUUAGGGGAUCGAAGACGAUCAGAUACCGUCGUAGUCUUAACCAUAAACUAUGCCGACUAGGAAUCGGAUGAUGUUAAUUUUUUAAUGACUCAUUCGGCGCCUUACGGGAAACCAAAGUGUUU
rnacentral:rRNA from 1 species